GAUGAACGCUGGCGGCGUGCUUAACACAUGCAAGUCGAACGAUGAAAGCGGGAGCUUGCUCCUGCUGGAUUAGUGGCGAACGGGUGAGUAACACGUGAGUAACCUGCCCUUGACUCUGGGAUAAGCGUUGGAAACGACGUCUAAUACCGGAUACGACCUUCGGAGGCAUCUCCUGGGGGUGGAAAGAAUUUCGGUCAAGGAUGGACUCGCGGCCUAUCAGCUAGUUGGUGAGGUAAUGGCUCACCAAGGCGACGACGGGUAGCCGGCCUGAGAGGGUGACCGGCCACACUGGGACUGAGACACGGCCCAGACUCCUACGGGAGGCAGCAGUGGGGAAUAUUGCACAAUGGGCGCAAGCCUGAUGCAGCAACGCCGCGUGAGGGACGACGGCCUUCGGGUUGUAAACCUCUUUUAGUAGGGAAGAAGCGAAAGUGACGGUACCUGCAGAAAAAGCACCGGCUAACUACGUGCCAGCAGCCGCCGCGGUAA
rnacentral:rRNA from 1 species